UUGGUGCUCGGUUCCUGGCCAUUCGCUUUCGUCUCACCUUUGCCUCCACAUCAAAGCAGUAUGUCUUCCAUACAACUAAUAAAUCAUGGCAACUUUUGAACUGCACUGAAACUCAGUUAAUCUCACUGAGAUUAAUCUCUCUGAGCCAUCUCUUCAACUGUGACAGAACUAUAAGUCCAAAGAAGCAAAUGCUAACCAUACAUAGAGCAAUGACUCCAAAGAAGUAUAGCACAAUGUACUAAUUCUGAGGUAAAAGGAUUAUGGGUACUUCUAUUUUCUACAAUUUCUACAUUUUACUUUAUGACAAUUU